GAGGUGCCAAGCGUUGUUCGGAUUUAUUGGGCGUAAAGGGUGCGUAGGCGGCCAUACAAGUCGGGUGUGAAAUACCGGAGCUUAACUCCGGAACGGCAUUCGAAACUGUAUGGCUCGAGAUCUGGAGAGGUGAUUGGAAUUCUCGGUGUAGCAGUGAAAUGCGUAGAUAUCGAGAGGAACACCAGAGGCGAAGGCGAAUCACUGGACAGAAUCUGACGCUGAGGCACGAAAGCUAGGGGAGCAAACGGGAUUAGAUACCCCGGUAGUCCUAGCCGUAAACGGUGCGUAUUUGAGGUGAGAGGAUUCGACCCCUUUCGUCUCGUAGCUAACGCGUUAAAUACGCCGCCUGGGGAGUACGGUCGCAAGAUUAAAACUCAAAGAAAUUGACGGGGGCCCGCACAAGCGGUGGAGCAUGUGGCUUAAUUCGAUGCAACGCGAAGAACCUUACCUGGCCUUGACAUGUACGUAGUAGAAGGAUGAAAGUCUGACGAGGUAGCAAUACCAGCGUACACAGGUGCUGCAUGGCUGUCGUCAGCUCGUGCCGUGAGGUGUUCGGUUAAGUCCGGUAACGAGCGCAACCCUUAUGAUCUGUUGCCACUCUCAGCAAUGAGAAGCACUCUGAUCAGACUGCCCUGCAUAACGGGGAGGAAGGUGGGGAUGACGUCAAGUCAGUAUGGUCCUUACGGCCAGGGCUGCACACGUGCUACAAUGCCCAGUACAGAGGGAAGCCAACUCGCGAGAGGGAGCCAAUCCCAUAAAGCUGG
rnacentral:rRNA from 1 species